GACGAACGCUGGCGGCGUGCUUAACACAUGCAAGUCGAACGGAAAGGCCCUGCUUUUGUGGGGUGCUCGAGUGGCGAACGGGUGAGUAACACGUGAGUAACCUGCCCUUGACUUUGGGAUAACUUCAGGAAACUGGGGCUAAUACCGGAUAGGAGCUCCUGCUGCAUGGUGGGGGUUGGAAAGUUUCGGCGGUUGGGGAUGGACUCGCGGCUUAUCAGCUUGUUGGUGGGGUAGUGGCUUACCAAGGCUUUGACGGGUAGCCGGCCUGAGAGGGUGACCGGCAAAAUGGGGACGGGGAUACGGCCAAGACUCCUCGGGGGGGCAGCAGUGGGGAAUAUUGCACAAUGGGCGGAAGCCUGAUGCAGCAACGCCGCGUGCGGGAUGACGGCCUUCGGGUGGUAAACCGCUUUCGCAUGUGACGAAGCGUGAGUGACGGUAAUGGGUAAAGAAGCACCGGCUAACUACGUG
rnacentral:rRNA from 1 species